UUUCCGUAGGUGAACCUGCGGAAGGAUCAUUCAUGAGCGUUCGGGGGCUUGUACCCCGUCCCUCCAUCCCUUGUGUAAUACCCUCUUCUGCCUGGCCUUAUGCGCCCCGCGGGCAACCGCGUGGUGCUGGGCCGCCAUUUAAAACCCUUUUUGUUAUUAUUUGUCUGAGUAAAGUUUUUAAAAUAUAAAACACAACUUUCAACAAUGGAUCUCUUGGCUCUGGCAUCGAUGAAGAACGCAGC
rnacentral:misc_RNA from 1 species